AUCUUAUCAUGUGGACGAACAGAUUGUUAUGCCAUAUGGAUGACAAUUCUGCACUCUAUAGAUGCUGUAAAAAAAGAUCUGCUUUUACGUGGUUUCUGGGUAUAAGUGUUCCCCUAGUACCACCAGUGUUUGUGGUCUUUGUUAUCACGUAUUUAAAAAGACCACAAGAACCUUUCACCCACGAAGGAAGUAUUGAUCAUCAUUCUGAUUCACGAUCAUUAGCGGAAACGAGCAUCGUGAAGUAAUUCGACGACGUCAUAGACAUGCAUGAAUACAAACAAAAUGCUACAACUGUUGAUCGACAGCAAUGUUCCUAUAAGUUAUUAAUCGUUCAAGGAUGACAUAUUCAUUAAAUGUAUAUUUAUACUUAUAUAAUGCAGAAUUUUUCAAAGAAAUGACCUACGUGUUUGUUAUGUUCCUUACCCAGUAUACGUUUACACAAAAUCGACGUGUUUAAAACCAUUACUUGGAUAGUGUUGUCAUAUUUGAUGCUGGUAUUUAAAAACAAACAAUACAUUGCCAUGGAUACUUUCGUGUUCAUUUAUUCGGUUAUUAUCAUCGGUUAACCAACUCUUUUUUUAAACUGUAUUUGCACAUUUAAGAUUUACUUUCAUACUUUCAUAAUCCAACGUUUUUCAACUUAAUUGUUGAUUGCGGCUAUUUAAUGUUUUCAUGAUCUCCAAU